UACGAAGGGGGCUAGCGUUGCUCGGAUUGACUGGGCGUAAAGGGCGCGUAGGCGGUUCGUACAGUCAGACGUGAAAUUCCUGGGCUCAACCUGGGGGCUGCGUUUGAUACGUGCGGACUUGAGUGCGGAAGAGGGUCGUGGAAUUCCCAGUGUAGAGGUGAAAUUCGUAGAUAUUGGGAAGAACACCGGUGGCGAAGGCGGCGACCCGGUCCGAUACUGACGCUGAGGCGCGAAAGCGUGGGGAGCAAACAGA
rnacentral:rRNA from 1 species